AAUUAGGCGGUGUAAACGCAUAUUAAAUUGCAAACUUGAAGCACAUUCUCUGAUUA
rnacentral:tRNA from 1 species